AGGGAAUAGAUACCCCGGUAGUCCACGCAGUAAACGAUGAUUACUAAGGGUUUGCGAUAGACAGUAAAGCCCGCGAGCGAAAAAGCGUUAAAGUAAUCCACCUGGGGAGUACGCCGGCAACGGUGAAACUCAAAGGAAUUGACGGGGGCCCGCACAAGCGGAGGAACAUGUGGUUUAAUUCGAUGAUACGCGAGGAACCUUACCCGGGUUUGAACGUGCCCCGACGUACCCUGAAAGGGGUAUUCCAGCAAUGGCGGGGUGCGAGGUGCUGCAUGGUUGUCGUCAGCUCGUGCCGUGAGGUGUCGGCUUAAAGUGCCAUAACGAGCGCAACCCUUAUCGUCAGUUACUAACAGGCAAGGCUGAGGACUCUGGCGAGACUGCCAGCGUAAGCUGUGAGGAAGGUGGGGAUGACGUCAAAUCAGCACGGCCCUUACAUCCGGGGCGACACACGUGUUACAAUGGUGGGACAAAGGGCAGCUAUCCGGCGACGGAAUGCCAAUCUCGAAACCCCAUCUCAGUUCGGAUCGGAGUCUGCAACUCGACU
rnacentral:rRNA from 1 species